CUGGGCAUCAGCAGAUGGCAAGAAAAGCUGCAAGAAAUGCAGACAUUGUUUUUCUCUUUCAUUCAUUCAAAAGCUGAUUAAAUUAUCUGAGCUUCUGUUUCCUUGUUAUAAAAUAGGGCGAAAAUUGUUACGUGCCGUAAAACUACUGCAUCUGGAGAUGGAGAUACAUUCCCUUAUGUGACACACCCAGCAGGGCCAGGCAUCUAGUAGGAGCCCAUGUGUCCACAGCUCACUCAGCUCACCCAAUAAACCCUGAGGGUCUGCUUCACUUUUUCCUUCCCGCACAAGCGUCACACUGACAGUCUGGCCUUUCCAAACCACCACUGGCAACUUCAACUGAACUGAUCAUAUGUCAACUAAUUCUAGGAGGCCAGUCCUGAUCCCAAGAAACGAUGACAUUGUCCACAUUGGAAAUCACAAACCUCGUCUGCCAAGUUGGACUCAUCCCACAGUUAUACCAGAUGUCCCAGCUACUGCAACAAGACAAGAAAAGGAAAACACAGAUGUGAAUCUCUAGGGGCUAACAGAGGAUCAACGUGUGAACUAAAGCUGCCUUUACAAUCACCCCAAAGAGAAAACUAGGUAGCCAACUGCAUCUGAAAAACCAGCAAGUCUUCCCUAUUUGGGGAAGAGCAAAACAGAGCCAAACCUACUAUGGCCAAUGCCUGCGCCAUGUGCAGGAGGAUACCAAAGAGUGUCAAACAUGGUACCUGCCUUCAGGGGACUACCAGCAUCCCUCUGUCCCUGGCCUUCAAAUACCUGCCGUCCACCAGCGGGCUAAAUAGGUCAGUCAGUCCAAGAUGUAUUAAUGAGUCUUGAUGUCUCUUUCAUAAUUUAGGAUCUGGUCUUGCCUUGAAGCUGCCAGGUUCUAGAAACUUUGCUAUUUCUUCUUUUAUUCACUUGGAUCAUCAAAGGGAUAGAACACAUAAUCAUUUUUCUAUUGUUUGAACAGAACCCAUUACUGUUGCCGAGAAGUGGUAAUUGAGUUUAUCAAAUAUAAUUACUCCUCUCAACCCACCCCCUCUCCAGUCUGCCUUUCUCAAUCAGGAAGAACUAACACCACCUUUCACGAAGGAUACUUGCAUAUUUGAAUGGCUUCCCAGGACUCUUUAAGUGGCAUACAAUUACACUUAAUUUAAUUUUUUUGUCAUUAGUCCCAGAGGCUUUGAUUCAAAACCUGUGUUAUUCUGAUAUAAGGAAAAUAAAGCUCCACCUCAAAUUAAAUAUUUGCCUUUGCAUAUGGUUUGCUGUUCAUUGUACAACUGCUCUUUUGCUCGAGUCUUUCGUUCCCAGCAGCCACUUCUGGGCUUGGCAUCUUUUCCAGUUCCUUGUGUUGCCCCAUCAGUUGUCAGGUCACCAGGAGCCUGAGCACACUCAGGUUUCAGGGACACUUCCAGACUCCAAGGUCCCAGAAGGUGACACAUUUGGGAAUCUAACAUCUCUUGUAUUUUCC
rnacentral:lncRNA from 1 species